rnacentral:misc_RNA from 1 species
UUAAGUUCAGCGGGUAGUCCUACCUGAUCCGAGGUCAACCUUGUGGGGGUUGCACUUGCGUGCGUCUUUUGACGGCAGGGCACCGGCGGGGCCGCCGAGCGAGGGGGAACGCAAGCGUUCGGUACUGCGCUCGGAGCCGACCAGCCGGGCCCGCCACUCGCUUUCGGGGCCUCCGCCAGGCGGAGGGGCCCCAACACCAG